CUAGCCUGUCCUAUGCUGAGGACCGAAGUCUACAUCUAGAGCCUCUACCAAGCAGUCGCAGGGACUCUGGUUCCGGGUCUUUCUUCUAGGCGCCCCAUCACCUGAAACUCAACUAGAUUCUGCCUCCUGUCUCUCAGCGGGGUGCAGACCCUCAUCUAUGCCUGUUUGGGGCCACCUUCCUAGGGUGCCGCUCUGCUUCUACUACCAAACUUCUUAAAACUUCCAGACAUUAUGACCGGAAAAAGCCAGGCUCUCCACUUUUAAAUCUUCUGCCCCUGGAUGGAGCCAUGCUGUCCUGACUUGGGCUUCCCGUCAUCCCACGUUUUGUAUUCCUCCCUACUGCUGUUGUGUCACUGCAUCAAACGGGGCUCUGCUUUGGAGUUAGGUCACCCAGCUUCGGAACUCCCAAGUCUGUACACAAAAGAAGACAACACUGUCUUCUUUGGGGAGAGCCCUCUAGGUUUGUCUGGUCCCAGACACAGCCACCAUUCUCCCUGUUAUUGGAAGGGACUCUCCUCCCUCAUACCCCCAAGGCUAAAACAAAGAACAGCCAACUACAGAGGCCUCUGAAUAGGUUUUGCCUCUUUCCCAGGAAUGAAGACUCAACCGAAAAGGGGACAUUCAAACAAAUCUAAGAACAGCAGGGGCCUUCCAGCCACCCUAGCCUCUGGCUAAUACUGGCUUGCCCUAACUCCGGGGAAUUCACAUAACCUGGUUGUUCCUCCCUUCCAAAAGACUAUUUAACCACCCCUUUCCCUGUAUCUCAUUUGGAGAUUCCAACCACCCGGUGCACAAUGCUGUGAGGGGGACCCAGAUUGCAAUCUGUCGGACCACAACUAGAGUCUAUUUGAAUGACUUUGGCAGUUGGUUUUCUUCAAUCGGACAUAACUGGAAGUUCCACCAGGAUUCAGUCUCCUGCCCAACUGCCUGUCUAUUGAACAGACUCCAGACACGUGGUACCACUGGGAACCCUUUUGUAUUCCUGUAUAGAUUCUACUCAGUAGCUGAAGACCCAUUCACAACCUCUGGGGCCUGAGCCAUCUUGUUUCCCAGUCAUUCUAGAACCUGGAGACUUGCAUCUGUUGGAAGAGACAUGCAAGGCUGCCUUGAAGGCCAGGUAGAAAAAACCUUAUUAAAUCUUCGUGACUGAGCUUCUGCUGCAAAGCUAAAAAGAGAUGAUAGCCGGAUACAUCUAUCUCAUCUAAAGAAGGCCCUAACAGCUCACCACUGGCCAUCUCACUCUCCACCUAACCUGGAAAAACGAUAGGUCUACCCCCAGCUCACCGGACUCUGGAUGUGAACUGACUUCCCGAGAGAACUCUCGGACAAAAUGGAUCAGCCUCAGAGCUCUGGGACUCAGGAGUGAAAGAGAGAGCCUGACAUGUAACUAGAGAGGGAAACUUUCAAAUCUGCUUAUGUUUAAUUUUGCUAUGAAGCCUGAUACAACUUGAUAUCUGUUCAUGUAGAGAUUUACAGCAAUUGUCCAGAGUGCUUUUCAGCGUUUGAGGGUAAAUUUUCAUGUAUUUGUUGUCUAUGUGGAAUUUCAGAAAGUAAUAUUUUUAAACUGGCGUUAGAAGUUUCUACCAGAAUGAACUUACAUUUUAGGAAAGGAUAUUGGAACCUGGUAAUUCUUAAAAUUGAUCUAUCUGGAUCAAGUUGGGGAAGUUUAUAUUUAAUCCUAAAAUAUGAUUAGGGAGAUUUGCCAUUUGAAGUUAGAUCUUAUAAGGCAACAUUGAAGAAGCUCUAGGACUUCUGUCUCAAGGGAAAGUUGAGAAAGCAAUUUUGGCUACCUCCUGGCUGAUUUUCCAGUGUGACAUUUCCUAUUAAAUGGAAAGUUUCCCCCCUG